UACAGAGGUCUCAAGCGUUGUUCGGAUUCAUUGGGCGUAAAGGGUGCGUAGGCGGCGCGGUAAGUCGGGUGUGAAAUUUCGGAGCUUAACUCCGAAACUGCAUUCGGUACUGCCGUGCUUGAGGACUGGAGAGGAGACUGGAAUUUACGGUGUAGCAGUGAAAUGCGUAGAGAUCGUAAGGAAGACCAGUGGCGAAGGCGGGUCUCUGGACAGUUCCUGACACUGAGGCACGAAGGCCAGGGGAGCAAACGGG
rnacentral:rRNA from 1 species